rnacentral:rRNA from 1 species
GACGAACGCUGGCGGCGUGCUUAACACAUGCAAGUCGAACGGAAAGGCCCCUUUGGGGGUACUCGAGUGGCGAACGGGUGAGUAACACGUGAGUAACCUGCCCUUGACUUCGGGAUAACUUCAGGAAACUGGGGCUAAUACCGGAUAGGAAUCCUUGCUGCAUGGUGGGGGUUGGAAAGCUUCGGCGGUUUUGGAUGGACUCGCGGCUUAUCAGCUUGUUGGUGGGGUAGUGGCUUACCAAGGCUUUGACGGGUAGCCGGCCUGAGAGGGCGACCGGCCACAUUGGGACUGGGAUACGGCCCAGACUCCUACGGGAGGCAGCAGUGGGGAAGAUUGCACAAUGGGCGGAAGCCUGAUGCAGCAACGCCGCGUGCGGGAUGACGGCCUUCGGGUUGUAAACCGCUUUCAGCAGGGGCGAAGCUUGUGGUGACGGUACCUGCAGAAGAAGCACCGGCUAACUACGUG